UAAUUUUAGGUGUUAUGGCACGUCAAAUUUUGAUUUUGAAGGAAUUUUAAUAAUAAGAUUAA
rnacentral:tRNA from 1 species